rnacentral:misc_RNA from 1 species
CUUAUCUGCCGGCUCCGACUGCGGUCCAGCCGGUGUUGGAGCUGGCGGCGAAGCCGCCCCCUUAUCCGCCACUGGCGCAUCCGCUUCCGGGGAAGGUGCCGGCGCCGGUGCUGGCGCAUGCGCCGGCUUAAACAGCUCCCUCGGCUCCAGCACCGUAUCAAUGACGUACACCGCCAGUGGAUCUGCAUCUACAAUAGUCCCCGAAAUAUCCGCCUUGCUCACCCCAGUGUUCAGCGUCACCGCCUCCCCCUCAUUCUGCACCGUGAAGUUGUAAUUCUUGCUUGUACCAUCAGUCGCCAGAGUGUUGACUACGCCAUUGCCGGACUUGAGCAUUGGAAUCGAGUUGUAUACGGGGAUGGCCUGGUAGAGAAGGAGGGAGACUUUGGCGUCGGUGGUGAGAUUCUUGAACUUGGGUGCGAAGGCCUUGACGGCGG